rnacentral:rRNA from 1 species
GACGAACCGUGCGAACGUUGUUCGGAAUCACUGGGCUUAAAAGGGCGCGUAGGCGGGCACGCAAGUCGGUGGUGAAGGCCCCGGGCUUAACCUGGGAAUGGCCGUUGAAACUGGCGAACUGGAGUGUGGCAGAGGGGGGUGGAAUUCCGGCGUGUAGCAGUGAAAUGCGUAGAGAUGCGGAGGAACACCGAUGGCGAAGGCAGCCCCCUGGGCUAACACUGACGCUCAGGCACGAAAGCGUGGGGAGCAAACAGGG